rnacentral:rRNA from 1 species
UACGUAGGGGGCAAGCGUUGUCCGGAAUCAUUGGGCGUAAAGAGCGUGUAGGCGGUCCGGUAAGUCCGCUGUGAAAGUCGGGGGCUCAACCCUCGGAUGCCGGUGGAUACUGUCGGGCUUGAGUACGGAAGAGGCGAGUGAAUUCCUGGUGUAGCGGUGAAAUGCGCAGAUAUCAGGAGGAACACCAAUUGCGAAGGCAGCUCGCUGGGACGUUACUGACGCUGAGACGCGAAAGCGUGGGGAGCAAACAGG